CUUCCGUAGGGGUAACCUGCGGAAGGAUCAUUACCUAGAGUUGCGGGCUUUGCCUGCCAUCUCUUACCCAUGUCUUUUGAGUACCUUCGUUUCCUCGGCGGGUUCGCCCGCCGAUUGGACAAAACUUAAACCCUUUGUAAUUGAAAUCAGCGUCUGAAAAAAACAUAAUAGUUACAACUUUCAACAACGGAUCUCUUGGUUCUGGCAUCGAUGAAGAACGCAGCGAAAUGCGAUAAGUAGUGUGAAUUGCAGAAUUCAGUGAAUCAUCGAAUCUUUGAACGCACAUUGCGCCCCUUGGUAUUCCAUGGGGCAUGCCUGUUCGAGCGUCAUUUGUACCUUCAAGCUCUGCUUGGUGUUGGGUGUUUGUCUCGCCUCUGCGCGCAGACUCGCCUCAAAACGAUUGGCAGCCGGCGUAUUGAUUUCGGAGCGCAGUACAUCUCGCGCUUUGCACUCACAACGACGACGUCCAAAAAGUACAUUUUUACACUCUUGACCUCGGAUCAGGUAGGGAUACCCGCUGAACUUAAGCAUAUCAAUAAGCGGAGGAAA
rnacentral:rRNA from 1 species